AUGAAACAAUACGUGCUAUUCCAAGAAAAUGUUGUUCACAUUGAAAACCAAGACAGAUUCUUGUCAAAUGAGAAGAGUCCUAUGUUUUGGAGUCAUCAAGCUAUUGAACGGCAUGCAGCAGCAAUAUAUACCCGAGAAAUUUACUUGAAGUUUCUGACAGAAUUAGUGAAUGUGACAGCUUUUAAAGUUAUAGAAGUUGAGAAGGAGAUAGUGUAUGACUUUAAGAAGCACAUAUGGUAUGAAAAACGAGAAUUCACAAGAGAAAUGCUCAGGGUUAAUGUUGACCUUGCUACUGGGUCAUUUCAAUGUUGUUGUGGGAAAUUUGAGCGUGAUGGUAUUGUUUGCUGCCACAUCCUCAGAUUCUUUACACAGUUUGACAUUACCCAUAUUCCAGAUAAAUUAAUAGUUGACAGGUGGACUAUUUCUUUCCGAGAAAAGGAACUAGAGAAGUUCAAGAAAGAUAAUGUGUUGUUUGGAGGUGAUGAUCAAUCACAUAAUGUUGUUAGGUAUGCUAUCCUAAUGAGUAAAGUUGGGGAUGCUUGCUCGGACAUCAGCAAAGAUUCUGAGCUUAGUAAAGAACUCCAUUGUAACGCCCUCGAUGCGGCUAUAUCUCCCACGUGUCGAAGCACGACUUAG
rnacentral:rRNA from 1 species